rnacentral:lncRNA from 1 species
AACUAUGUAGCCCAAAUUAAAACGUGGACAAAAAGUAAUUCAACUUUGUAAGAAAUACAAAAGACUAAAAUUUAUAUCAUUCUCAAAGAGUUCAAGUAGCACAUAUUUUGAACACAGCUAUUUAGGAUAACUAACCACCAUAUAUCCAAAGAGAAGUUUAUGCUUUUCCAAACCGAUAUAUUAUUUUUUUAAUACAAAUUAACAUCUUAUACCACAACUCUUAUUAUUAUCUACUGGUGGAAAGACGGAUUAUCGAUAUUUUUCUAUUUAUUUUGUUAUACUACGUGUGUGUAUAACUUGAAUUUAAUUCAUUUCGUGUGUUUUUCAAUUUAAAUUUGAAAAAGGAUUAGAUCAUUAAGGACAGAUUUAUAGCAGAAAAAUAUUGAAUUAAAAGAUAGUUAAUUUUCAAAAUUUUGGUAAGAUUUAGAUCUGUGUUUAAAUUUAAAUUUGAAGAAAAAUUGAUUUACUAAGGAAAAUUUAGACCAUAAAAAGAUCCAACAAUAAAGUAGUUAACCCAAAGGAUUCGAGGUUGAUAUUUAUAAAUUGAGAAAUGCUAACUAUUAUCAUCAGUCACUCUUUAAACAUCUUAGAUAAUAAAUUUUUAUGAAAAUUUGUGUAUUAGUUGUAUAAGAAAUUGAACUAUUUAACUUUUUCAAAAAAUACUUUCUUAAUGUUGAUAAAAAAGUUGAAAAAAAAGACCCAUAAAAUCUUGGCUUUAAGAUAAAAAAGUAUUUGCAAUAAAUUGGUAUGAUAUAUUUUUUUUACUCAAUAGGUAUGAGACUAGUCCCGUGAGCAUAGCUCAGUUGAUAGGACAAUGCAUAAUUACAUGCAAAGGCUAUUAAAGAGUACUUCGGAGGCCGGACGAUUUUUUUGUUAAUGUGCAGACUUGUAAAUAAACUUAUUCUAACACCAAACAAACCUAUGUAUGCUUGCGCGUUUUGCCCUCCUCCUCUCAUUUUCAUGCUCCUGUUAGCUACUGCUUGCUUUCACAAGUCACAACUAUAAGCUCCUUCCUCCAAUCUUCCCUCUCUCCAACUCCACUUUCUUCUUUCAUUUCUAUCACCACAUCAAUUCCAUCUACAUCACACUCCCAACCAAAAUUCUCAUUUGAAAAUUCUACUCCUAAACUCAUCUUUAAUUCACUUUUUGUGAUCACCCACAAACAGUACUAUCAAUCAACUAACCUUUGACAUGUUUUGGAUAUGAAAGAAAAUUCCAAAACAAGGAAAGAGCCUCCUCUCUUCAGAUUUCCUUUUCACAACUCACUAUCAUUUGUUUCUACAUUUGAUAAACGAUAGAGGACCUAUACUUUGGGGAAAAAAAUUUAAAAAAAUGGAAAAAGAUAAGCUUCUAGUUUUUACACUUAUUAUUAGUCAUUAACCUAUUCUACUUAGACUUGUAGGUUUCCCUUUGUUUAAUUACCUCUUACGUGUAGUUGAUCAGAUUAUAAUCCAUUCCACAUUUUUUUGAGAUAUUAAUUUGGCCUCAAUAAUUAUAAUAUUAUUGGUUUCUGUUUUUGAUGUUUGUUUUGUACUACAUUCUACGUGUGAAGUUUAUCCAUCGUUUGCAUUAUAUGCUUAAGGCA